CAGAUUGUGCUUCUACAUUCUACAAGCUGGUUGACUUAAACCUUCAAUCCCAAAAAAUAUAAAAAUUUGUAUUGUUUAAGUAUAAAUAAUUUAUUAAUAAUUUAUGUCGCACUUAUAAAAGUAAUAUUUUUAUUUAUAUAAAAUGUAGUUAACCCUUAUCCGUCCUUUUUCAUUCACGUUUCUAUAUUUAUUUUUAUUUUUGUUGACAAUAUUUGUUAAUAUAAUAAAUUAAAUAUUAAGAAUAAUUCCGUCUAAAAAUUAGCUAACUCAGAACCAACAUCACCAAUUGUACUAGCUUCAAGAUAGUUACCAUGUGGAGAAUUUGGAGAUUUUAACGUAAAAGAUGUCUUCUAUAUUAAGUUUGGAGAUUUUAACCUAAAAGUCGUCUUCUAUAUUAAGUUUGGAGAUUUUAACCUAAAAGUCGUCUUCUAUAUUAAGUUUGAAGAUUUUGUCUAUGAUUUUACAAGUUGUGAUUAAUGUGCCAAGAGCCUACAUGGUGCUGGCCCAGUAUAUUAAUACAAUAAAUAAACUGACAAUUAAUAUUA